rnacentral:rRNA from 1 species
UGAGGAAUAUUGGGCAAUGGGGGCAACCUUGACCCAGCAACGCCGCGUGGAGGAUGAAGGUCUUUGGAUUGUAAACUCCUUUUCUCGGGGAAGAGGAAGGACGGUACCCGAGGAAUCAGUCACGGCUAACUACGUGCCAGCAGCCGCGGUAAUACGUAGGUGGCAAGCGUUAUCCGGAAUUACUGGGCGUAAAGCGCACGCAGGCGGCGCGUUAAGUCUGACGUGAAAGAACCCGGCUUAACUGGGGGAGGUCGUUGGAGACUGGCGGGCUUGAGGCAAUGAGAGGGGUGCGGAAUUCCCGGUGUAGUGGUGGAAUGCGUAGAGAUCGGGAGGAACACCUGUGGCGAAAGCGGCACCCUGGCAUUGGCCUGACGCUCAUGUGCGAAAGCGUGGGGAGCGAACGG